CAAAAGGUAAUGAUGAAGAUGGUAUGGAGAAAAUGACUAAAGAGAGUCGGUGGAUGCUGUGAACCGAUGCUUUUUCUUCAAAUGCCGAGCACUUCGGAACCGGCUGGCUGAAAUAACAGUAGGUCAGAACGGCAGGAAUGUCGUUAUUUUAUGAGGUUACUUUACAAAUAAAGUAACAAAUUGAGGGUGGUACCGCGUUUCCCCACGCCCCUUAU
rnacentral:ncRNA from 1 species